ensembl:lncRNA
GUUAAAUUUCAUGCCAUUUAGAAGCAGAGUCCCAAGUUAGUGUAAUUGUAUUUUGCUUUGUUUGUGCGAUAUCUUAAUAUAUAUGCACUUUAUAGGUAGAUACAAUUCUUGAUAACACUGUGAAGGAAAUAAAGGAACGAGUAUCAGAAUAGCAGUAAAAGUUUCCUGAGUAAAAGUCACUGGUCUAAAUCUACAGGCAUUUAUGUGGGGUUGGUGUGGUGGGGACUUAAUGAGUUGGGGUCAGUCCAAGUAGAUCGUGUCCUGUAGCAAGUCAUUAAAGUAAAAGAUUUUUUACUGUAGGAUGGUCUAAGGCAGUUCUUCCUGACUUCAGAGUGAUGCUCAGCAUGCGGCACAGGCUGCAGGUCUCCCCAGAACAUCUGGGCUUCAUGUGCGCUCAGAAGGCAAGCGUGGCCAGGACGCUUGUGCAUUGGCUUUUAGCCAUUGAGUUCUGCUGUGUGGUUGUGUCUUGACUGAGUUCCAGGAUAUUCUCACUGUAAGCACACAGGAAGAGGGAGGUCAGCAUUCAAGAACUGACUUGCCACCACCUCUUCAUCCUUUCCUGUCCUGAAAAUCUGUCUUUCCUCCACAAUUUCCUAAUUUUCACUUAGUGGUUUUUAAUAUAUUCCCACCAGCUUAUACCAUUGGUGGUACAAAUGGACCUAAUCAUUUUUAUCAGUCUUCUGACUAAUAAUAAAAAUUAAUAAAAAGCUGCCAGAUGGACAGUCACACCAGUGGUUCAAGUUGCCUGGCACUGAGAUGUAGGAAUUCCGGCCCCUUCGUGAGCAUGUUAGCCACUGUAGCUGUCUUCCUUGUGGUGCAGCGUGCCUCCCUGACAGGCUGAGGCUGUCUGCUCCAGAAACUGUUUUAGCACAGCUCAGCAUUUCAAUGAUGGGACUCGGGGAGCUUGAUGGAUCAUUUUCUUAGCAAAGUCUUAGAAUGCUCAUCCUUCACCAAGCACAUACUACAGCUCACACCAAGUUGUUUUCUUCAUUAGUAAUUUUUAACCUCCUUCAUUUCUGAACAUUUGUAUAAAGGAAUUUCACUGACUUUAGCUCUCACAGACUUUCAUCCUGAGUUUUGUUUUGGGAGCUAUAGCUUCAUAUAUAUUUCAUGUAUUAAAAAUCCAGUCUUCAUUUUAUGUAAAGUUAAGUUGCAUUCUUAGAACAUUAAUUUCAGAAUGCUAGAACAUAUGUUCUCAGAAUGCUUGAUUUGUUUUUUGAAGGAUAGAAGUCAGUAAUAACCUUGAGGCUGAGGAAUUUGUUUGUCUUGCCUUUGAUUGAUAAAUCUUUAGACCUUUUGGCCCCUCCUGGAGUGAACAUUCUCCAUGGCCUUGUCAUGCUAGUUCCACAUUUUCUCAUAUCCAUGUGACAGUCAUCGGUGGCCCCUCUAACAGGCUUAUGAGGAUCCUUUGAUUUGCACCCUUAACCAGCUGUGUGCACUAGUCACCAUUUUCGUUUAUCUGACGAGCACUGGUGAAAGGACUGCCUUAGGUGCAUUAGAUCUAAACUGGGCUCUGGGAGACAAAGGCAGAUAAGCCACAGCCCCUGUGCCCAAGGACUCCUGGGGAUUUCGUUUCCAGGACUGGUGAGG